rnacentral:rRNA from 1 species
AUUGAACGCUGGCGGCAGGCUUAACACAUGCAAGUCGAGCGGUAGCACAAGAGAGCUUGCUCUCUGGGUGACGAGCGGCGGACGGGUGAGUAAUGUCUGGGAAACUGCCUGAUGGAGGGGGAUAACUACUGGAAACGGUAGCUAAUACCGCAUAACGUCGCAAGACCAAAGAGGGGGACCUUCGGGCCUCUUGCCAUCAGAUGUGCCCAGAUGGGAUUAGCUAGUAGGUGGGGUAAUGGCUCACCUAGGCGACGAUCCCUAGCUGGUCUGAGAGGAUGACCAGCCACACUGGAACUGAGACACGGUCCAGACUCCUACGGGAGGCAGCAGUGGGGAAUAUUGCACAAUGGGCGCAAGCCUGAUGCAGCCAUGCCGCGUGUGUGAAGAAAGCCUUCGGGUUGUAAAGCACUUUCAGCGAGGAGGAAGGUGGUGAACUUAAUACGUUCAUCAAUUGACGUUACUCGCAGAAAAAACACCGGCUAAAUCCGUGCCAGCAGCCCCGGUAAUACGGAAGGUGGCAGCGUUAAACCGAAUUACUGGGCGUAAGCGCACGCAGGCGGUUUGUUAGUCAGAUGUGAAAUCCCCGGGCUCAACCUGGGAACUGCAUUUGAAACUGGCAAGCUAGAGUCUCGUAGAGGGGGGUAGAAUUCCAGGUGUAGCGGUGAAAUGCGUAGAGAUCUGGAGGAAUACCGGUGGCGAAGGCGGCCCCCUGGACGAAGACUGACGCUCAGGUGCGAAAGCGUGGGGAGCAAACAGGAUUAGAUACCCUGGUAGUCCACGCUGUAAACGAUGUCGAUUUGGAGGUUGUGCCCUUGAGGCGUGGCUUCCGGAGCUAACGCGUUAAAUCGACCGCCUGGGGAGUACGGCCGCAAGGUUAAAACUCAAAUGAAUUGACGGGGGCCCGCACAAGCGGUGGAGCAUGUGGUUUAAUUCGAUGCAACGCGAAGAACCUUACCUACUCUUGACAUCCAGAGAACUUUCCAGAGAUGGAUUGGUGCCUUCGGGAACUCUGAGACAGGUGCUGCAUGGCUGUCGUCAGCUCGUGUUGUGAAAUGUUGGGUUAAGUCCCGCAACGAGCGCAACCCUUAUCCUUUGUUGCCAGCGGUUCGGCCGGGAACUCAAAGGAGGCUGCCAGUGAUAAACUGGAGGAAGGUGGGGAUGACGUCAAGUCAUCAUGGCCCUUACGAGUAGGGCUACACACGUGCUACAAUGGCAUAUACAAAGAGAAGCGACCUCGCGAGAGCAAGCGGACCUCAUAAAGUAUGUCGUAGUCCGGAUUGGAGUCUGCAACUCGACUCCAUGAAGUCGGAAUCGCUAGUAAUCGUAGAUCAGAAUGCUACGGUGAAUACGUUCCCGGGCCU